rnacentral:tRNA from 1 species
GCCCCGAGUACUUCGGCGCCAAGCCCCAACUGGUCCUGAAGUCCGGCUUCCCCGCCUACGGCGUCACCGGCGA